rnacentral:rRNA from 1 species
UAGCCUUGACAUUGAUUGAACGAACCAGAGAUGGAUCGGUGCCCUUCGGGGAGCAUGAAAACAGGUGCUGCACGGCUGUCGUCAGCUCGUGUCGUGAGAUGUUGGGUUAAGUCCCGCAACGAGCGCAACCCUCGUCCUUAGUUACUAACGGUUCGGCCGAGGACUCUAAGGAGACUGCCUUCGUAAGGAGGAGGAAGGUGAGGACGACGUCAAGUCAUCAUGGCCCUUACGGCUAGGGCAACACACGUGCUACAAUGGUUAGGACAAUGAGAAGCGAUACCGCGAGGUGGAGCAAAUCUAUAAACCUAAUCUCAGUUCGGAUAGCAGUCUGCAACUCGACUGCUUGAAGCUGGAAUCACUAGUAAUCGUAAAUCAGCUAUGUUACGGUGAAUACGUUCCCGGGUCU